rnacentral:rRNA from 1 species
AACGAACGCUGGCGGCAGGCUCAACACAUGCAAGUCGAGCGCCCCGCAAGGGGAGCGGCAGACGGGUGAGUAACGCGUGGGAAUCUACCCAUCUCUACGGAAUAACGCAUGGAAACGUGUGCUAAUACCGUAUACGUCCUUCGGGAGGAAGAUUUAUCGGAGAUGGAUGAGCCCGCGUUGGAUUAGCUAGUUGGUGGGGUAAAGGCCUACCAAGGCGACGAUCCAUAGCUGGUCUGAGAGGAUGAUCAGCCACACUGGGACUGAGACACGGCCCAGACUCCUACGGGAGGCAGCAGUGGGGAAUAUUGGACAAUGGGCGCAAGCCUGAUCCAGCCAUGCCGCGUGAGUGAUGAAGGCCCUAGGGCUGUAAAGCUCUUUCACCGGUGAAGAUAAUGACGGUAACCGGAGAAGAAGCCCCGGCUAACUUCGUGCCAGCCGCCGCAGUAACAC